rnacentral:rRNA from 1 species
AGAGUUUGAUCCUGGCUCAGAACGAACGUUAGCGGCGCGCUUAACACAUGCAAGUCGAGCGAGAAAGGGCUUCGGCCCCGGUAAAGCGGCGAACGGGUGAGUAACACGUGGAUAACGUGCCCUGGACUCUGGGAUAACAGUGGGAAACCGCUGCUAAUACCGGAUAACACCUACCUGUCGCAUGAUAGGUCGGUCAAAGCUCCGGCGGUCUGGGAUCGGUCCGCGGUGUAUCAGCUUGUUGGUGGGGUAACGGCCUACCAAGGCUUUGACGCAUAGCUGGCGUGAGAGCGCGACCAGCCACACUGGGACUGAGACACGGCCCAGACUCCUACGGGAGGCAGCAGUAGGGAAUCUUCCGCAAUGGACGAAAGUCUGACGGAGCAACGCCGCGUGAGCGAUGAAGGCCUUCGGGUCGUAAAGCUCUGUUGUUAGGGAAGAACAAGUACCGGAGUAACUGCCGGUACCUUGACGGUACCUAACCAGAAAGCCACGGCUAACUACGUGCCAGCAGCCGCGGUAAUACGUAGGUGGCAAGCGUUGUCCGGAAUUAUUGGGCGUAAAGCGCGCGCAGGCGGUUCCUUAAGUCUGAUGUGAAAGCCCACGGCUCAACCGUGAGGGUGGCAUUGAUACUGAUGGGCUUGAGUGAAGUCGAGGUAGGCGGAAUUGACGGUGUAGCGGUGAAAUGCUUAGAUAUCGUCAAGAACACCGAUAGUGAAGACAGCUUACUAGGCUUAUACUGACGCUGAGGCACGAAAGUGUGGGGAUCAAACAGGAUUAGAUACCCCGGUAGUCC